rnacentral:lncRNA from 1 species
AUGAGGUCAUCUCAUCCCUUUCUGCAAAGCUGGUGGCUCCUGGCAGCUGCAGGAGUUGCAUCUCCCCUCCAUUCUCAAGGAAGUGCAGGGAUCCAGGAAGCUCCUCUGGGUGAUGGCUUAUUGAUAUCAUACCAGAAUGCUGGUAAAAUGCUGGAAAGCACGAGAGAAGGAUUUCCUGGAUACCAUCUCUGUUCAAACGAGGAUAAAGUGCAGCCAAAGAAGGAAAGACAAACAAAAGGUUUAAAGCGUUGCUGGAGAAGGAAAGAACUAGACGAGAAACCACAGUCUGGAUGUAAUUAUGAGUUUUACAGGAUCCUGCAGCACUUCCAGAACUGCUGAGGACCUGGGCCAUAUCUGUCAGCUGGGAUGGCAGAAGAAGAAAUCCCCAUCAUACAGCUCGUAAGUGAAGGGGUCUAGCUGGACUAGAUAACCAUACAGAGUAAAGGAAAUAUCUGAUGAAGACUCCACAGAUUCCUCGUUACUUCUGUAUUUCACCUGGCUUAUGAAUAUUUGCAUGAACAGAUUUUGGCUCACACUGGGAGGCAUCCUCUCAUAUAAAUAUCUAUGGUAACAUAGCAACAAGGGAUUUUGUGCAUAAAACUAGUUUUUUAACUGAUGUCUCUUAGUUUCUAAAAUGAUCAGCUCUUCUGGAAAAAAAAAUGAAGUAGCUAAUUCAUAUUUGAAACCUAAACUCAUUUUCUCUCAAACUUUUCAACUGUGAUUCUGCACAAGAGUUGCUAUGGCUUCACUCUUUAGUUAUAAAUGCUUUGAAAAUAAUUUAAAUUUGACUUGAUAUUGAAACAAUACCAUUGCUAAGAUGAUCUUCAGGUGGUCAUUGUAUGUCAUGUUGUUUUCUAGAAUUUGUAUUUUAAAAUUAAUCAUGAAAUCCUUUCACCAUAUAUUAAAUAAAAUAUCAUGAAGUAUAAAAACA